UUCCUGGUGGCUCAGACGGUAAAGCAUCUGCCUUCAAUGCGGGAGACCCAGGUUCAAUCCCUGGGUUGGGAA
rnacentral:tRNA from 1 species